AGAGUUUGAUCCUGGCUCAGGAUGAACGCUGGCGGCGUGCCUAAUACAUGCAAGUCGAACGCUGGAAAUCUAGCUUGCUAGAUUGAAGGAGUGGCGAACGGGUGAGUAAUACAUAAGCAACCUACCCACGAAGACUGGGAUAAUCUCUGGAAACGGGGACUAAUACCGGAUAGGUAAUCGGAAGGCAUCUUCUGAUUAUUAAAGGUUAAAAACACUGGUGGAUGGGCUUAUGGCGCAUUAGUUAGUUGGUGAGGUAACGGCCCACCAAGACGAUGAUGCGUAGCCGGCCUGAGAGGGUGAACGGCCACAUUGGGACUGAGACACGGCCCAGACUCCUACGGGAGGCAGCAGUAGGGAAUUUUCGGCAAUGGGGGAAACCCUGACCGAGCAACGCCGCGUGAGUGAUGACGGCCUUCGGGUUGUAAAGCUCUGUUGUAAGGGAAGAACGGUAGAUAGAGAAUAUCUAAGUGACGGUACCUUACCAGAAAGCCACGGCUAACUACGUGCCAGCAGCCGCGGUAAUACGUAGGUGGCGAGCGUUAUCCGGAAUUAUUGGGCGUAAAGGGUGCGUAGGCGGCCUGUUAAGUAAGUGGUUAAAUUGUUGGGCUCAACCCAAUCCAGCCACUUAAACUGGCAGGCUAGAGUAUUGGAGAGGCAAGUGGAAUUCCAUGUGUAGCGGUAAAAUGCGUAGAUAUAUGGAGGAACACCAGUGGCGAAGGCGGCUUGCUAGCCAAAGACUGACGCUCAUGCACGAAAGCGUGGGGAGCAAAUAGGAUUAGAUACCCUAGUAGUCCACGCCGUAAACGAUGAAUACUAAGUAUUGGGGAAACUCAGUGCUGCAGCUAACGCAAUAAGUAUUCCGCCUGUGGAGUAUGCACGCAAGUGUGAAACAUAAAGGAAUUGACGGGGGCCCGCACAAGCGGUGGAGUAUGUGGUUUAAUUCGACGCAACGCGAAGAACCUUACCAGGCCUUGACAUCCCUUGCAAAGCUGUAGAGAUACAGUAGAGGUUAUCAAGGAGACAGGUGGUGCAUGGUUGUCGUCAGCUCGUGUCGUGAGAUGUUGGGUUAAGUCC
rnacentral:rRNA from 1 species